rnacentral:lncRNA from 1 species
ACUCUAGGACAUCAGCAGUUGAGUUAACAAGAUGCAUGCUUGCAUCAGGGACAGCUAACCCAUUUGGUUGGGUAGAAUUCCAGAUCCCAAGUGUGAUAUCUUUUUCGAGAACUAUCACUUGAGAGUAAAUCACGAACUUGUUCAUUGUAUAUCUCAACCAUUUGAACACCAACUUCAUAUUCUAUGGAGCUUUUCCUGCUCU